CCUCACCCUCGUAAGACUACCCGCUGAACUUAAGCAUAUCAAUAAGCGGAGGAAAAGAAACCAACAGGGAUUGCCUCAGUAACGGCGAGUGAAGCGGCAAAAGCUCAAAUUUGAAAUCCCCCGGGAAUUGUAAUUUGAAGAGAUUUGGGUCCGGCCGGCRGGGGUUAAGUCCACUGGAAAGUGGCGCCACAGAGGGUGACAGCCCCGUGAACYCCUUYAACGCCCUCAUCCCAGAUCUCCAAGAGUCGAGUUGUUUGGGAAUGCAGCUCUAAGUGGGUGGUAAAUUCCAUCUAAAGCUAAAUACCGGCGAGAGACCGAUAGCGAACAAGUACAGUGAUGGAAAGAUGAAAAGCACUUUGAAAAGAGAGUGAAAAAGUACGUGAAAUUGUUGAAAGGGAAGGGCUUGCAAGCAGACACUUAACUGGGCCAGCAUCGGGGCGGCGGGGARCAAAACCACYGGGGAAUGUACCUUUCGAGGAUUAUAACCCCGGUCCUUACUCCCUCACCAUCCCGAGGCCUGCAAUCUAAGGAUGCUGGCGUAAU
rnacentral:rRNA from 1 species